UGCUGCUCUGAAUUUCUCCUGUCGUGUACCAUGACUCCUUUUUGAUCCUCGUCUCCCAGGCAGGGGCAGCCACAUCAGUCCUGCAGCUCACAGGUCCUCCAGUAAUGAAACUGGGGACAGGUUUAGCUGCACACAUGG